UUGAACGCUGGCGGCAGGCCUAACCCAUGCCAGUCGAGCGGAUGAAGGGAGCUUGCUCCUGGAUUCAGCGGCGGACGGGUGAGUAAUGCCUAGGAAUCUGCCUGGUAGUGGGGGAUAACGUCCGGAAACGGGCGCUAAUACCGCAUACGUCCUGAGGGAGAAAGUGGGGGAUCUUCGGACCUCACGCUAUCCGAUGAGCCUAGGUCGGAUUAGCUAGUUGGUGGGGUAAAGGCCUACCAAGGCGACGAUCCGUAACUGGUCUGAGAGGAUGAUCAGUCACACUGGAACUGAGACACGGUCCAGACUCCUACGGGAGGCAGCAGUGGGGAAUAUUGGACAAUGGGCGAAAGCCUGAUCCAGCCAUGCCGCGUGUGUGAAGAAGGUCUUCGGAUUGUAAAGCACUUUAAGUUGGGAGGAAGGGCAGUAAGUUAAUACCUUGCUGUUUUAACGUUACCAACAGAAUAAGCACCGGCUAACUUCGUG
rnacentral:rRNA from 1 species